rnacentral:rRNA from 1 species
UGGGGAAUAUUGGACAAUGGGCGAAAGCCUGAUCCAGCCAUGCCGCGUGUGUGAAGAAGGUCUUCGGAUUGUAAAGCACUUUAAGUUGGGAGGAAGGGCAGUUACCUAAUACGUGAUUGUUUUGACGUUACCGACAGAAUAAGCACCGGCUAACUCUGUGCCAGCAGCCGCGGUAAUACAGAGGGUGCAAGCGUUAAUCGGAAUUACUGGGCGUAAAGCGCGCGUAGGUGGUUUGUUAAGUUGGAUGUGAAAGCCCCGGGCUCAACCUGGGAACUGCAUCCAAAACUGGCAAGCUAGAGUACGGUAGAGGGUGGUGGAAUUUCCUGUGUAGCGGCGAAAUGCGUAGAUAUAGGAAGGAACACCAGUGGCGAAGGCGACCACCUGGACUGAUACUGACACUGAGGUGCGAAAGCGUGGGGAGCAAACAGGAUUAGAUACCCCCGUAGUCCCUGAGCGGGCUGGCAAGGCGCAU